rnacentral:rRNA from 1 species
CCUACGGGAGGCUGCAGUGGGGAAUUUUGGACAAUGGGCGCAAGCCUGAUCCAGCUAUUCCGCGUGUGGGAUGACGGCCUUCGGGUUGUAAACCACUUUUGUAGAGAACGAAAAGUCUGUUGUUAAUACCGAUAGAUGAUGACGGUACUCUAAGAAUCAGCACCGGCUAACUACGUGCCAGCAGCCGCGGUAAUACGUAGGGUGCGAGCGUUAAUCGGAAUUACUGGGCGUAAAGGGUGUGCAGGCGGUUUUGCAAGAUGGAUGUGAAAGCCCCGGGCUUAACCUGGGAAAGCCAUACAUGACUGCAAGACUAGAGUGCGUCAGAGGGGGGUGGAAUUCCAAGUGUAGCAGUGAAAUGCGUAGAUAUUUGGAAGAACACCGAUGGUGAAGGCAGCCCCCUGGGACGCAACUGACGCUCAUACACGAAAGCGUGGGGAGCAAACAGGAUUAGAUACCCGGGUAGUC